UACGUAGGGUGCGAGCGUUGUCCGGAAUUAUUGGGCGUAAAGAGCUCGUAGGCGGUUUGUCACGUCUGCUGUGAAAUCCCGAGGCUCAACCUCGGGCCUGCAGUGGGUACGGGCAGACUGGAGUGCGGUAGGGGAGAAUGGAAUUCCUGGUGUAGCGGUGAAAUGCGCAGAUAUCAGGAGGAACACCGAUGGCGAAGGCAGGUCUCUGGGCAUUAACUGACGCUGAGGAGCGAAAGCAUGGGGAGCGAACAGG
rnacentral:rRNA from 1 species